CCUACGGGUGGCUGCAGUGGGGAAUAUUGCACAAUGGGCACAAGCCUGAUGCAGCCAUGCCGCGUGUGUGAAGAAGGCCUUCGGGUUGUAAAGCACUUUCAGCGGGGAGGAAGGCGGUGAGGUUAAUAACCUCAUCGAUUGACGUUACCCGCAGAAGAAGCACCGGCUAACUCCGUGCCAGCAGCCGCGGUAAUACGGAGGGUGCAAGCGUUAAUCGGAAUUACUGGGCGUAAAGCGCACGCAGGCGGUCUGUCAAGUCGGAUGUGAAAUCCCCGGGCUCAACCUGGGAACUGCAUUCGAAACUGGCAGGCUAGAGUCUUGUAGAGGGGGGUAGAAUUCCAGGUGUAGCGGUGAAAUGCGUAGAGAUCUGGAGGAAUACCGGUGGCGAAGGCGGCCCCCUGGACAAAGACUGACGCUCAGGUGCGAAAGCGUGGGGAGCAAACAGGAUUAGAUACCCCGGUAGUC
rnacentral:rRNA from 1 species